rnacentral:lncRNA from 1 species
AACAAACCGCCGAAUGGACAGGGUUUUCCCUGUACCGCGGACAGAGUCUCCCCUGUACAUUCAAGGCGUCGCAAUUAAUACAAUGUACGAAUUUCCAACCAGAAACACAUUUCAAUCAAGAUUGCAUAAUGGAAGGUAUCAAACAACAUAACACAUCCUAUAUUAUUACAUUCAUUCAUAUUCAUGCAUUUUACACAUCAACUACCAUUCCUUUUUCAUCCAAAUGCAAUCUAAAUUAUUACAACAUUUAUAUCUUUAAUACAUCAUGUUACAUUGUGUUCUUUUCAUUUCUUUAACCCCUAAGCUAUGUCGACGGGGUACUGCUAGCUCUGGUCUGUGGGGUAGGGCGCUAUCUACGGAGCUACGCCCUUUUCUCGCGCUGCCGUGCCGCUCACGUGCGAACAUGU